UGGAGGUGGGAUGCUGCAACCUAGGGAAAAAGACAGCUCCGCAGGGCGACAGAGGGAACGUUGUCCUCGAGCAAAAGAGAAACGGGGUGGUGCGCGGGGCGAGCGGAAACGGCGCCUCAAGCGGAGGAGAGGAGCCUUGACACGCACCGACGCGCUUUCCUCUGCGGGGCUGUUUGUGUUCGUGACGCGAGCGUCAGUGAGCGCGGCAGCAGCAGCAGGGAGAGAGAGAGAGAAUCCGACUGUAGGCGAUCAAUAGAGGGCCCAGUGUCCGGGACAUGUGCGCCAAAAGCGACAGUGGUGGGUUCUUCGGAGGGGCCCCCCUUCCACCAUCGUGCUCCUAGGGAGAACCCGGUGCCCACUUCCCCAGGCGGGUGGUGCAACAACGAUCCGGGCCGCGGGAGAACGUGUGGCGAGGGUGCGCCUUGCAGGCGGCGCUGAGGGCGAGGGGUGUUGUUGCCAAACCGUGCGGCGACCGACCCCGGACUGCAGCAGUUGGGCGUCCCCUAUGCUGGUGCGCUGCUCGCUGUGGACGUUGCUGCUGCCUUUCCCUGCCACCGCACCGCUCGGAUUAUUACCGCCGUUUGUCGGGAUACUUGCCUUCUGAAAAGGUUUGUGACGAACGUGUGCUGGAGUCUGACGAUCCUGGCCCGGUGUGGCGGUAACAGCCACGUCCGCGCGGCGCCCAAGCGUUCCCAUGUGGAUUACGCCAAGUGCAGAAGAGAACAACGUUGCUUCACGGCGGAUACUGUGUGUGGGUGCCAGUGCGCGCGUGUUUUGUGCCGUCGCGUUCUGUGUCAAGCUGGCUCCAUGAGCGAGCGUGACCUGCCUGAUGCGGCGGCGCCUGUGACCGCCCCGUCGUGUUGUGCUUCGCGAGACAAGUGCCCCCACUCAAGGAGAGAAUGAAGUGCGUUGCGUGAUCAGUGGUGCACCUUUGCAAUCUUCACACCUUUUGGAUGUAUUGCGCUGGUCUCGCGUCCUCUGGCGUGAGGUCCACUGUAAAUAGGUGCUCUGGCUUCGACGCCAUCUGCUGGCCUGCCAUCCGGACGAGCGGAUGUCCUCGGACCGCCCUCCGCGACCACUUCCACAGCGCGGCCUCGCACGCAGGGAGACCUCCCUCCUUCUGCGACUGAGGAUUGGCUACUGUUGGACGGGUGCUCGCCGCCACCGGCACGGCAUCAUCGCCUCUCCAGCCUGCGCCUCCUGUGGGGAGCCCGAGACCCUGGAGCACCUCCUGCUGACCUGCAGCAGCGUGGCCGCCUCCUGCAGGAGUUCCGACGCCUAGGGUUUCCUUCUGCACGGCAGGAAGACAACCUUUUCCCUGGUCGCAACGAGCUACCAGCCCUCCUAAGUGUCCUCGGGUACCUCGACUCGUCGGGGCUCUCGGCGAGACUCUAGGAUUUUCUGCAAAGACGGAUAGACUUACGGCUAUCCAGACCACUCUAGGCUACUCGACCUACCCCAACCAUCUGGCUCCUGCUGGAUCACCACCCCCUGGCCUUUCACCAGAUUACCAUUCCUACCGGACCCACUGAGCCCUUCCUGUCGGACUGCUCAGCCGAUGCCAUGGCGACACUUUAACCUCCUACUCUCCUAUCUCCUUUGCUCCCACUAUCCCCCCACCCUUGUUGACGCUGAGCUGUGCUCCCGCAAGGGCUGCAGAAAAUAGCGUCAACCUUUCCUUAUCCCUUCAAGAACCACUUCUCUCUCACUGAACACACCGAGGUGAGUGGGUUUCUUGCAGACAGGAGUCUUGACCCGAGCAGGCGCCUCUUGAUCCAAGAACUGACCCCGUAGUCAGUGGCCUCCGCGUCUGUCCAUUGACCGAAGACUUCUGGCGCCCGUGAGACCACAGCUGCAAAAUAUCUCUUUCCAGGAAUUCCCCCGCACCAAAUAACCCGUGGCGGCCACGGUGAAUCCGCUAACAAUACUUGGUCCGCCGACCGCGUUUAGUCAUAGCGGCGCCAAGGAGGUGUUGAUGCGGCACAUCGUCGAUCCCUACAAAAUGAGUCGCCGCAGCAGGUGGGGAAGGGUUCCAAGGUCGCUUCUGGGAAGCUCGCCACCCUCGCAGCUGCGGCUGGAUGGGAAUAUUUUGUAGGUCGGUACCCUUAGGCCGUUCGUAACACUAGGUACUACAGAAGAGGAGUUUCUUUGCUCGUUUUGUAUAUGCGUUUGUCCCUAAGCGUGUCGGCAUUGCGGUGUGAGGUCGUGUGCCUGUGUGCUGGUGUCGUGUAUCGUGCACAAGUCUUCCUCGUGCGUCUCCAUGGAUGUUGCUGGCGUAGUGCAAUGACGUGGACGAUUUCGCGCACUGGCCACGCCCAUGUGUGAGUUCGUUUACGCUCCGACGCUGGCUGCUGGCGCGGUGAACCAGGUGAAGCAGUGGGCACUGACGCCGCAUGUCGUGAUAGCUGUGUGUAAAGGUACGUCGUACGUACGCGAAUUCCAGAAGCUAAACGUA